AGUGGAUGGGGAGCAACCUAGUUGUGCGUGUGUAAAGGUAGUGCCAAGAAAAGCGAUGAUCAAGUUGAAAAUCAAUUCCCGGUACCCGAAACCGACACAGGUGGGCAAGUAGAGAAUACUAAGGGGCGCGAGGUAACUCUCUCCAAGGAACUCGGCAAAAUGACCCCGUAACUUAGGGAGAAGGGGUGCCACCGAGAGGUGGUCGCAGUGAAGAGGCCCAGGCGACUGUUUAGCAAAAACAUAGGUCUCUGCAAACUCGAAAGAGGAGGUAUAGGGGCUGACGCCUGCCCAGUGCCGGAAGGUUAAAGAAGUUGGUCAGUUUUAGGAUGAAGCUAGCGACUGAAGCCCCGGUGAACGGCGGCCGUAACUAUAACGGUCCUAAGGUAGCGAAAUUCCUUGUCGGGUAAGUUCCGACCCGCACGAAAGGCGUAACGAUCUGGGCGCUGUCUCGGAGAGAGGCUCGGCGAAAUAGGAUUGUCUGUGAAGAUACGGACUACCUGCAUUUGGACAGAAAGACCCUAUGAAGCUUUACUAUAGCUUGGAAUUGUGUUCGGGCUUCCUGUGCGCAGGAUAGGUGGGAGGCGUAGAAGGUAUUCUUGUGGGGAUACUGGAGCCAACGGUGAGAUACCACUCAGGAGGCUAGAAUUCUAACUUAAUUAAGGACAGUUUCAGGUGGGUAGUUUGACUGGGGCGGUCGCCUCCAAAAAGGUAACGGAGGCGUACAAAGGUUCCCUCAGACUGGUUGGAAAUCAGUCGAAGAGUGCAAAGGCAGAAGGGAGCUUGACUGCGAGAAGUACAGUUCGAGCAGGGUGGAAACACGGUCUUAGUGAUCCGACGGUGCUGUGUGGAAGGGCCGUCGCUCAACGGAUAAAAGUUACUCUAGGAUAACAGGCUGAUCUCCCCCAAGAGUUCACAUCGACGGGGAGGUUUGGCACCUCGAUGUCGGCUCAUCGCAACCUGGGGCGGAAGUACGUCCCAAGGGUUGGGCUGUUCGCCCAUUAAAGCGGUACGUGAGCUGGGUUCAGAACGUCGUGAGACAGUUCGGUCCAUAUCCGAUGUAGGCGUGAGAAUAUUGAGAGGAGCCUUCCUUAGUACGAGAGGACCGGGAAGGACGCACCGCUGGUGUACCUGUUAUGAUGCCAAUUGUAAACGCAGGGUAGCCAAGUGCGGAGAGGAUAACCGCUGAAAGCAUCUAAGUGGGAAGCCCACCUCAAGAUGAGUAUUCUGGUGUAAGGUCACGGGAAGACGACCCGUAAAUAGGCACGAGGUGGAAGUGCAGAGAUGUAUGAAGCCGAAGUGUACUAAUAGACCGUCGGCUUGACC
rnacentral:rRNA from 1 species